GCAUUAAUUCUCCUUCCAAUUGGUAAACUCCCCCGGCGUUGAAUCCCCAGUCCUCCCAAGAGGAUGCCUUCAGAGCGAAGGGAGAUUUCCCAUACACUGAGCGCAGCCCUGCAAAUCAGCUUGGCCGGGGCUCCACGCUGGGUUGGAGCAGGAAGGAAGGAAGGAAGGAAUUCAGUGAGAACCAGCAAUGGAGAGAGGGACAGAUGGACAGGUAUCCCUUCCUGGCAGUUCCCGGAGGAGCUGGCUUUUCUGUGUCCCGCUUGCAUCAGCCCUGCCUGGUUAACCCAUAUGCGAAGAGGAGUCUGUAACCCUCAGAGAGGUCCUGCCUUCUGCUCCUUCGGUAGCCGAUCCGGAACAAGGUAGAAGAACUCCAGUUCUCUGUACCACGGGUGCGGAGGAAGCAAGGAAGGAACUCGGGUCCUUUUUCUGUUCCAGGGGGUCUUUUGACAGGCUCCUGGGCUAUCCCAGUCUCACGUGUGCAGGACUGGCUGCUGGCACUGGCCACUUCCAGGUGCCCCCACCCCUCUCCCUGUACUACGGCCCCUCUCCAGCCUCAAAAUCUACCUCCUGCUUGACAAAACCCCCGGUUCCCUCCAGCCUGUAAACCUCGUGUGCAAAUGUCCUGAC